ACACAUGCAGCCCAGUUUUUUCUCUGAAUAUUUCCCAUCGCAUCAGGUUGAACUGAGCACAACCUGCAGGCGCAGAGCACUGUCACUGUGCCCUGCAGUCUCCCCUGCUGGCCUCUCUGCAAAAGGACUUCUGCAGAGAAGGCACUGGCUUUUCUGUGUGGCUCCGGUAGGAAUCUAGGUCCCUGAUUUGUUGGCAUAAAAAGAACUUGCAGCUCUAGGGAGCAGCGAUUCUGACCUUUUUACCCAUGAGGCCGUCCAUCUUGGCUGGUUCUGGACUCGCUCAGCCGUUUCAACCUACUGGGGUGUGAGGGUCACAGCGAGGACACCCAGGACAAGCCCGGAGCAGACUGGAAACAGGUGUCAGUGAUGCCCAAAGCUACUUCCUGAGCAGUGAACUGGGAGGAGGCCAAAAGGAACAAAAAGACUCAGAAAAAAGAAGAGGAGGAAGUGGUGAGCGAAAGGGGAACUGUCCCACCUUCGCCAUAAGGCAGCCCCGUCGCAUCCCUGCCCAGCUGUGGGGCUUCUGUGCCAGGCUUCCUUACGCCCCUGGCUCUCACUCUCCUGGGUUUGUAAAAUGGAGUGAGGAUAAUGAGGGGGAGCAGUCAAUGAAUCUCACAGAUUCGGGGAAGCUUGAUUUGCCGGGCUGUGGAAGGACACAGAGAAAUGUGUGCUGCACGGGAAAGCCAGGAUGCAGAAGUCUUUCCAGGAGACACACCUGGGAACCCCUCACCCCCAGCCCGCAGUGCCCCAUUUGCUUCCUCCUGCUCCCCUGCCUUGUAGUCCUUUCCAGCUCCCUCACCAGCACCUGUGACCCUGCCCACUCUGCUCCAGGAGGCAGCUUAGCUCAGGAUGCAGCACUGGGCUUUGAGGACCCUGCUAUGGUUUGUAUAUGUGUCCCCUAAAGCCCAUGUGGGAAAGGCUGAGUCCCCAACCUUCAAUGGAACCUUUAAGAGGAAGAGCCUCAUGCAAUAAGAUUCGGUGAUUUGUUAAAGGAGAUUGUGGAACCCUAACCCCUUCCUCCCCUCCUCCCUCUCUGUUUCCUGGCCUCCAUGAGGUGAGCAGCCUCCUCUACCGAAGACAUCCACCAUGAAGUUCUGCCUCCCACCGACCCAAAGCCAGUGACCAACCAGCCAUGGACUGAGACCUCAGGAAUCAUGAGGCUACAUGAACCUUCCCCCCCCUGAAAGUGUAUUUGCCUCAGUGUUCACUUUUCUGCAGAGAGAAACAGAGAGAGAGAGAAAGAGGGAUCCAGCAAAAGCUAGCUGCAAAACACUUUGCCAAGACUCCCCUGGCCAGGCCUGAGGGUGAAGAGGAGUGGUAGGUUCGUUUCACAGGAGAGAGGAGGACAAAGCCCGCAGGUGCAGGCCAGCCGGCAGCCCCAGGCCCUCUCCUACUUAACCACCAGACAAGGAGGUGUCAUCGUGGAAGCUGUGAGACGGAGCCUAUGAGGGCCAGGCCAGGAAGAGAGUGGGACAGAGAGGCCCAGCCACGUGUGACAGCCCUCGGCCCGGGGGAGGCACGCCUGCUCACAGCACUGGGAAGCCGGGAAAAGAGCCAUGGGCCAGGCUUUGGAAAUGACAAACAUCUAGGUAACUCAGUCCAAGCACCUGGCCCCAUCCACCCUGCGGUGACCUCUGAGUCCUGGCUGGGUGCCGCCCACCUGCCCAUCAGCCCCCUGAUGUCUUGGGCUCCGGGCUCCAUUGGUUAGGGGUGGAUCGAUCUGGGCUCUUGAAGGAGGAACUUCACUGACAAAGGUCGGAGGCUCACAGGCUGCUAUUUAUACAUUUUUCUAAUAUUUAUUAAAUGCUAUUGACAUGCAGAGCCCAGGAGAAGGCAGAGGUGGGCAGGUCCGGUGGCAGCACGGCCUGGGGAAACUGGACACGCAUCAUCUCGAGGCUCUGAGCAAAGAUGCCCCGUGGAGCUUAGAGCCACUUGGUCCCUGUCCUUGAGGGGUGUUCUGGGAAAUGUCCACUGCACACUGAGGGACAGAGUGAACCAGAGCCUGAUUGCCAACACCAGCUCCACCAGCCGCUCCCCAACAGACAUGCUUGGCACUCCGUCACACGACAGCUGGAGGGGCGGGGGGACUGUCCCCAUGUUCUUCCCGUCACCUAACCCUGGUCAGCUGUCCCUCCCCAGGGCCAAGGCAGUGGAGGGUUUACCUCAACCCUGAAGGAAAGGCCACUGCUAGGGAAGGGCCAGGGACAGGCUGUGGGAGGGGUGGGCAGAGCAAGCGGAGACAAGGACCCGGGCAUCGUGGCUGCGGCCACCUGUGCUGCCCACUCCCCUCCUGCCAGUCAAGUGUGUGCUUGAGCCCUACAACGCACGGGUGCAGCCUUGGCGAUCGAUGUAUGGGGUGGGGGCAGCGGUCCUGGCUUCCUGCUGUGUGGAUCCGAAGCUCUGCAAGGAGGCGGCUCUCCUCAGGGCUCCUUAGACCUCCGACAUGGCCCGUGAGCACCGUGCAACGCCCCUGAAUUUCACACGACACCCCUCCAUGUGGGGCUAGCGCCCUUCUGGCAAAGGAAAGAUGUGAAGGAUCCCUGAGGAGAGGGCUGCCAGCCAUCCUCCCCUCACUGGCGCGCACCCCCAUUUCAUCAGGCCUCACCAGAUCCCCGGCUUUGGCACCAAACGUCCCCCUACUCCCCGGCACGCAUUCUUGCUCACCUCACAAAUGACUCAUGGCAGCCAGGGACUGGCCGGCAUGUCAGCACCCAUCCACCCCUUUCCCAGGUGCCACCCUGCAGAGCUCUCGAGUCAUCAGCUGUCCCUAAGCCCAGGGAGCUCCUUGAGUUACAAACCCGAGAGAGGACAUGGAAAUUGAAAUAGGAGAAGCUGCCCGGGGGGCCAGCAGGCUCCUGGGCAGCUAUGGAAAGACAGGCCAGCCAGGGCCACCACAUUAUUUAUUGGUUCUCUGGGGGAGACAUAUAUGGGUAUAAAAAUAUCCCCUUCAUAUCAUGAGCUAUACAGUCCCCUCCUCCCCCACUUUUCCACGUUACCAAGGCAUCUGCCACUUACUUGAGGACAGUCACUAGAGAUACCUAACAGGAGGCGCCUGCAUGUCCAUGUCACUUAUUUUUCACUAAGUGCCUUGCAUGAUGCGGGGUUCAGGGAAAUGGGUUCCACUUAUCAGCAGCGAGGGAAGAGCCCCUCCUGCAAGUGCGAUCUCUCACAGGGCCGCCUGGCACACUGGGCAGCGCGAAGCCGUAGCUACAUCUCAGGCGUGGGUUCCCAGAGCUCCAAGCACACGGUUCCUAGCCAGGGAAGGUAGCCAGGACUGCAGGUGUUCUGGUAAAGGAAGGGAGCAGGUCUGUCACUCCUGUGACCCCAAGAACUCCUACGCUGCCUGGCAUGGAGGGUGGCGAGAGGGCAGGAAAUGAUGUCACAUAGCCUCUGCGGAGAAGCACAACAGGCUGGACAUAAAUGCCACGCAGGGGCUGUGCUGGAGACAGGGUUUUCCAGGUUGGAUCAUGGGGCUGCUUUCCUGGAAACCGGGCUUCUAGUGGCUGGAGCAGAUAAUGCAGGGAAAUCCCUACACACAGUAUCUGUGGGGACAUCGCUUGUCAUUGAAGAGGAGCUAGGCCUUGGAAAAGGAGCAGAGUACCCUGGCCCAAGGGCUGCAGCCACCCCGGGGCUCAGGUUACCACCACAGCAGGCACCGGACCAAUGGAUCCUCCAGGACGUGCUUAGAGACUGAGGGAUGACAUCCCCCAAAGGACACAGCUGUGAGGCCCCCCAAGAUCGGCCUCUGCUCCCGACAACCAUGGACACACAGUUCCAAGGACAUUCAUGUCCCAGCAGCCCCGAGUGCAGGGUGAUAAGGGGACACAGGAAGCUACCUGGCAGGGACCAGGUCCCAGCCAGCAGGAGUGGCAGAGGCACUGACCCCCUGGCCUCCCUGUUUAGACUGUGCUGGGAGUGAGGAUGCAGCCUUUCAGGGAAAGCAGUUUGGGGGAUGCAGAGACUAAAGUCCUUGGGCCUCGCAUCCACUGAGUUCUGUCUCAUGCGGUUUUAUACCGAGGUGCCUCACAUAUGAGAAUCCUCCUGGCCUGGGAGGUAGAGGCUCAGACCCUCCCUGCACUGACAGAGCCAAGCAGACCUCUCCCUCGCAUAACCCCGACUGUAGCCUGUCUGCUGUCACCCGCGGGUACCCAAAGCUCCAGGAAGGGAGGAUGUGCUGGGACAGGAAGACCAGAACCCCCUCCAGGAGCCGCCUCCACCACGGCCCCGCCCCGUAGUUGGUCCUGGGGACCGCAGUGUCCAGGCUCUGCCACCAUCACCCUAUUUCUGCCCCAACAAUGAAUCAGAGUUAGUGGGGGCCUGGUUCUCAGUCUCCACGGAGCCUCCCCGGGAACUGACUGUCCUCCGGAGAGGAAUGGGAGUGAUGCAGGGAGCAGAGCUCUGAAGCCAGCAGCCCUGCAAGGUAAGAUGGGAAGCGGGACAGACGCAGACUGAGGAAGCCGGGCAGAAACUCCCCGAGAUGCGCUGCAGAAGACCUCCAAAUGCAGGCUCAGAAUCAUUUCAAUUUUAAAAAAGGAAAUGAAAAGGAUGCAAACGUUGAUGAAGGGGAAGGAGAGGGACCAGUUAGAAACCUGGCUACACACCGAGAUGGAUGUGCAAUUUGAAGUUUACAGACAGGUGGUCAGAUCCAUACACAGAGAGAAAGACACACACAAGAUGCAGAAUGUAUGAAAACAAAAACAAUCAAACAGCUGUUGGUGGCAGAAAUAAGUGCUCAUCAAACGUAGUGUGCUCUAAACGGCAGAGAGCAACAGUGACGAUGACAGUGGCAUUUAAAGUGUGCUGUGGUGGGUGCCAAACAUUUUUGUCAGAAAAACUAUUUUUCAGAUGGUGCUGGUGUAUUGAUCAUUUUCUUUGUGGUUUUAUAUAUUUGUGUGUGUUAAUUUAUUAGAAACAUAUUGAGACAUAAAAGCAAGGAAUUUUAAAGAGAUUUUAAUAGUUUGAAAUAGUUAUCAAAAAAUCACCAACUGUAUAAAAAGCUCUGUAAGUAAUAUUAGAGUCUUUAUGAGAACAAUGUGAUUGAAAAUCUUAGUUUUUG